UUUGUAUUCAUUUUUUAUUUAACAUUUAUAAAGUAAUAUUGUUCAAAGCAAGAUCAAAAAUAUUAAUUAAAGCAUCCAAACACACGUUAUUAAUGUGAGUAUUGUUAUUACAAAAAAAAAAAAACAAACCAAUAACCCUCAAAAGUUCAUCUCAAAGUACUCUUUGAGAUAACGCUCAGAUCUGACUGCUCAGAUAGCGCUGAUUAAUUUGAAUGAUUUUCUAACACGUUCUAAUAUGUUUUCAUUUCUACCGUAAUAAACGAUAAAUCGAUUUUAAAAAACGUGUAACUGUUGAAAACGUGAAGAUUUCUAUAAAGAGACAUUUACUUAACGUUUAUGGAAUGAGUCUCCAGCGUCGGCGCUUUAUAACUGUAGAGCCGUAACUUGAAAUUUCUCCCCAUACAAGAAAUGUUUUAUUCCUUAUUUAAGUCUCUGUAAACAAAUACACAGUUGAAUAUUGAAGAGAUUAGAUUUAUAAUCAAGAGAUUAGAGUUAAUAUGAUGAGCUGGUAUCAGUGCAGUCAUGAUCCCAUGUAACAGUGUAGAAAGUAGUGAAAGUUCGGCCUCAGAGAACGAUGUACGUGUUUCUACGGUUACUGAGAAUCCUCUCACUGCCGGAGAGCCAUUGUCGGACCCUUAAUCAAAGACCUCAUGCUCUGUAUUUAGAGUUUUGGAUUGGACACGCGCGUGUCCUGCCAAGUGAAUAAAAAUGGAUGUGGAUCCACGUGAUGACACUAAUCGCACGAAUAGACUCGCUAGUUUAGCUUACUGGAUUUCACAUUUAAUUAUCCGAGACUAUAAACACGGCCUCUUCGUUACUCUUCUACUCAUCGCAACGACUAACCAAAUGACAAAAAAUGUCAGUCUAAGCAAACUUUUUUCUCAUGGCACUGUAUGAAUGUACGUUUUGGCCACGUAUCAAAGGCGUUGCAGGUUUAUACGGUUACCGCGCAUGACGAAUACAUCGUAGCGUAUUAAGUAUUAGUGUUAAAGGCUGCGCUUCUUUACAUUGGAACGGAAUGAAUUGAAAGGCUUUGGCGUUUCAUCCGCUGAAUGUAAAGCCACGCUGCUACUCUUCUGGGGUGGGGUCAGGAUUCAUUAGGCCUUCGGCAUUCCCAUCUUGGAAGAGAGGACGAGUACGGUGCCUCAGAAUCACCAGAAAAAGUCUGAUCGUGAAGAAAACGCAGGCCAGCGCCAGGAGAACAGCUGCGGAUUAAACAGAUGAGAUAAGAAGGUAAAGGAAGAAGCACGCGUGGAACAUCUCAAACUGACGCUGAGAAACAGCCGACAUGUUCCGGACGCGUUCCUACAUCUUCUCGGAUCAAACUAGCUAAAGCCUAUAAGCCUUUCGCAGACUGAAACAGGGGGUGGAGCUUAUUUCAGGGUCAGAAAAAUGUAAACAGAGGCCUGAAACACUAAAGAAAACACGGCUUCCUGUUAGUCACAGUGAAAGGGAAACGACCUCCGUGCCUGUCAAUCCCAAUGAGGCGUGGCUUGUGUGCCUGUCAGUCUUAUUGAAGGGGGUGUGGCUUCUGCUACUGUGAGUUCAGCAAGGAAGGCUCGUCAGAGAGUGAAGUAGGUGUGGCUUGUGUAUCUAUCAGUUCCAGUGAAGGAGGCGUGGCCUCUGUGAAUGUCAGCCCCGAAGAAAAAGGUGUGGCUAGUGUAUCCAUCAGUCUUAGUGAACAAGGCGUGGCCUCUGUAUGUCAGUUCUAGUGAAGGAGGUGUGGUUUCUGUGAAAGACAUUCACAGCGACGAAGGCGUGGCUUAUGUGCCUGCCAGUACCAAUGAAGGUAAUGUGACCUCUCUGAAAGUCAGUUACAAUGCAGGAGGUGUGGCUUCUCUGCCUGUUAGUUUCAGUGAAGAAAGCAUGCUCAGUCCUAAAAAAAAAAAAAAAGAAGGUGUGGCCUCUACGUCUGCAAGUAGGGAGGCGUGGCCUUGCUGCUCGUCAGAUCUAGUGAAGUAGGCGUGGCUUGUGUGUCAGACAGCUCUGUGUGGAAACACUUCUUAUCGCUGGCACACAUACUGUCACGGACUCACCUGAAAACACGGCGUUUCUGCCUGGAGCUGCUGCAUCGUAGUGUUUGCUCAGGCUUCCACUCAGCGCGAAGAUGACGACGGGGUAGACGGUCAGAAUGUAGCGCACGUGCUUCUCGAUCACAAAGUUCUCAACAGCAAACCUGCACAUGCGAAAACGACAUUUGACACAGUACAAAAAAAUAUUUAUACAUCUAAAUCGUCAAAGGAACAUUAGCCUCUGUAUGAGGACGGACCAUACAACCACUUCUAAAAGCAGAAUGCACAGAGAAACAGUGGCCGCAUUCGUCGGGGACAUGGAUGUCAUAUCCAACACCACGGUCAAGUUGAGGAGCGUAGCUACGGUCGUCCAUGUUGCAGUGUUCUUGACUCGGACUGAUGUUCUGAAGGAGUUUUUCUUCACCGAGGAAAGAAUCAUUCACUUUAGUUGUCUUCCAGGACUUCUGGUGUUGCUGAGCUCGCCACCUAACGAUGUUCUCCUUCACUUGCCCCGACACCUCUUUGAGAGUUCCCAUGAACAGCUACCGAACGCAAAUUCAACGCUGGGAAUCAACUCCAGAAUCGUGGAAUCUCCUUAAUUCGUCAUAAAAUAACCAGGAAACAGGCCACACGUGGCCACGAGACGGCUCAUCGGUCAGCUGUCCAAUUACUUUUGAGCCAUGAAAAUGCCUGUAAAUAUCGAAUACUGUUAACGCGAUAUUUCUGUUAACUCGUACUUACUCUCGGUCCCAUAGCAGCAGCCAGGUGAUGUUCAGGAGCAUGUUAAUCGUCCAGGAGAGAUAAAAGCCGUAAGGAAGAAAAGCAGGACUGCAAUACAUCCAUCCGGUGGCAGUCCUUCGUACAAAACAUACAGAUGUUUAAACCAGGGGGCGUGGCUUCUCAGAAUACAGAUGGGGUAAGAAGGAGCCUGCUGCGUUACCAACCUCUUCCCGAUCCAGCCAAGGCGUUGAUGGCCAAAGCAACGAUGUAAACCACCAGAGAGACAAGAAGAACUAAAAUCCGCCCGAUGUUAUGCUCCUCCAUGAUUGCGCUUGAUUUAAACAAAAAAAAAAAGAUACGAUAAAAAUAAAUUAAUAAAUACAAUUUUUUUUCCAAAACCGACGAUAAAAAAAGCGUCUUUUUUUCAGUUUGUACACCAAACCUGACUGAUUUUCCUCCGAAUUUCGAUUAAAAUGUAAUUAGUUUGCUGUUAACACGCUGUAUAUCUGCACACAACAGCACUGGAUAUUAAUUCUCCCUGUUAUUUAGUGUAAACUGAGUUACGUUAACAUUAAUAUCCACUAACGCGUCACUGUUUACUUUCAGGUUUCGUAACUUCUCUUCUU
ensembl:lncRNA